rnacentral:lncRNA from 1 species
AUAUUUUUAAACAAUUAUAUGCCUCGACCUUCUAUUAAAUUAAACUUGUACUAAAUCAUGUAAUACCUCUGCAACCACUUUGGAUCUUCAUAGUAAUUCAAAAUUGCCGCUAUUCGUGUGUAUUUAUGCAAUUAACAUUUUGAAGUUAUGACUCUAUGAUAUGAAACAUAGAGAUCAUACCUUAGAAGCAGAACGUAAACAAAACAAAAUAUCUAUGAAUAUGAUCUAUCUCAUCAAAAGAGGCGUGGUUUGUCAAACAGCUGUAUUUACAGGUGCAAUCUUUAGAUAAAAGAUAAAAUGUCACUCCAUUGUAGAUGU